AUUGAACGCUGGCGGCAUGCUUUACACAUGCAAGUCGAACGGCAGCGGGGGCUUCGGCCUGCCGGCGAGUGGCGAACGGGUGAGUAAUGCAUCGGAACGUGCCCAAGUCGUGGGGGAUAACGUAUCGAAAGGUACGCUAAUACCGCAUACGUCCUGAGGGAGAAAGCGGGGGAUCUUCGGACCUCGCGCGAUUGGAGCGGCCGAUGUCGGAUUAGCUAGUAGGUGAGGUAAAGGCUCACCUAGGCGACGAUCCGUAGCGGGUCUGAGAGGAUGAUCCGCCACACUGGGACUGAGACACGGCCCAGACUCCUACGGGAGGCAGCAGUGGGGAAUUUUGGACAAUGGGCGCAAGCCUGAUCCAGCCAUGCCGCGUGAGUGAAGAAGGCCUUCGGGUUGGUAAGACUCUUUCGGUCCCGGGAAGGAAAGUACGUGUUUUCUAACUAUAGGACAUGGAUGACGGUACCGGA
rnacentral:rRNA from 1 species